rnacentral:rRNA from 1 species
UACGUAGGUGGCUAGCGUUGUCCGGAUUUACUGGGCGUAAAGAGCGCGCAGGCGGUCGUUCAAGUCGAGUGUGAAAGCCCCCGGCUCAACUGGGGAGGGUCACUCGAUACUGAUCGACUCGAAGGCAGGAGAGGGAAGCGGAAUUCCCGGUGUAGUGGUGGAAAUGCGUAGAUAUCGGGAGGAACACCAGUGGCGAAGGCGGCUUUCUGGUCUGUAACUGACGCUGAGGCGCGAAAGCGUGGGGGAGCAAACAGG